UGGCUCUCUGUGUGUCUCUAUGGGGCGGUUAUGGAGCAGUUAUGGGGCGCUAUGGCUCUCUGUGUCUCUAUGUGUCCCUAUGUGUCUCUAUGUGUCUCUAUGGGGCAGUUAAGGGGCAGUUAUGGGGUGGUUAUGGGGCGGUUAUGGGGCAGCUGUGGGGCAGUUAUGGCUCUCUAUGGCUCUCUAUGUGUCUCUAUGUGUCUCUAUGGCUCUCUAUGUGCCCCUAUGGGGCAGUUAUGGGGCAGUUAUGGGGUGGUUAUGGGGCAGUUAUGGCUCUCUGUGUCUCUAUGUGUCUCUAUGUGUCCCUAUGUGUCUCUAUGUGUCUCUAUGGGGCAGUUAAGGGGCAGUUAUGGGGUGGUUAUGGGGCGGUUAUGGGGCAGUUCUGGGGCGGUUAUGGGGCGCUAUGGGGCGCUAUGUGUCUCUAUGUGUCUCUAUGUGUCUCUAUGUGUCCCUAUGGCUCUCUAUGUGCCCCUAUGGGGCAGUUAAGGGGCAGUUAAGGGGCGGUUAUGGGGCUGUUAUGGGGCGCUAUGGGGCACUAUGGGGCAGUUAUGGGGCAAUUAUGGGGCGGUUAUGGGGCGGUUAUGGCUCUCUAUGUGUCUCUAUGUGUCUCUAUGGGGCGGUUAUGGGGCAGUUAAGGGGCGGUUAUAGGGCGGUUAUGGGGCGGUUAUGGGGCGGCUAUGGGGCAGUUAUAUGGCGGUUAUGGCUCUCUAUGUGUCUCUAUGUGUCUCUAUGUGUCUCUAUGUGGCGGUUAUGGGGCGGUUAUGGGGCGGCUAUGGGGCAGUUAUAUGGCGGUUAUGGCUCUCUAUGUGUCUCUAUGUGUCUCUAUGUGUCUCUAUGUGUCCCUAUGGCUCUCUAUGUGCCCCUAUGGGGCAGUUAAGGGGCAGUUAAGGGGCGGUUAUGGGGCAG
ensembl:lncRNA